CUAAAGGCCCUUAUAUGGCUUUUUGACGCCUAAAAAAGGUCUUACACGUAUAACAAGUGGUUCCACGUGCCUGCGCAGGUUACCACCGGUCUAUUCCGUCCACUCUUAAUGGCCUACGUCGUUCAAAGUCGUUUUUCAUCGAGCCAUGGCCUUACAACACUAUCAACUACGUGUACAGAUCUCUAAAUGCUGUUAUAUGGACUUUUCACGUCCAAUAAAAGCCUUAUACGUUAAACACGUGGUUGCAUGAGUUCGCACAGACAACCAUCGGUCUAUUCCUUCUACACUCAAUAGACUACGACGUCCCAAGUCCUUUGUCAUUGCGCUAUAGCCUUACAAAACCGUCAACUGCGUGCACAGCCCUCUAAAGUCUGUUAUAUGGCCUUUUGAUGCCUAGUAAUAGUCUUACACGUAAAUCAAGUGGUUCCACGUGCCUGUGCAGGUUACCAGCGGUCUAUUCCGUCCACUCUCAAUGGUCUACGUCGUCCAAAGUCGUUUUUCAAUGCGCCAUGGCCUUACAACACCAUCAACUACGUGUACAGAUCUCUAAAUGCUGUUAUAUGGACUUUUCCCGCCCAAUAAAGGCCUUAUACGUUAAACACGUGGUUGCCUGAGUUCGCACAGACAACCAUCGGUCUAUUCCUUCUACACUCAAUAGACUACGACGACCCAAGUCCUUUGUCAUUGCGCUAUAGCCUUACAAAACCGUCAACUGCGUGCACAUGCCUCUAAAAGGCUGUUAUAUGGCCUUUUGACGCCUAAAAAGGGUCUUACACGUAAAUCAAGUGGUUCCACGUGCCUGCACAGGUUACCACCGGUCGAUUCCGUCCACUCUCAAUAGUCUACGUCGUCCCAAGUCAUUUUCCAUCGAGCCAAGCCCUAACAACACCGUCAACUACGUGUACAGGCCUCUACUGGCUGCUUUAUGGCCUAUUGCCGUUCAAUAAAGUCCUUGCACGUAAAAUACGUGCUUCAAUGUGUUAGCGCAGGUUACCAUCGGUCUAUUCCUCCCACACUCAAUGAACUAGAACGUCCCAAGUCCUUUUUCAUUGCGCUAUAGCCUUACAAAGCCGUCAAUUACGAGUACAGGCCUCUAAAUGCUUUUACAUGGCCUUUUGCCUCUCAAUAAAGGCCAUACACGUAAAACACGUGCUUCCAUGCGUUAGCGCAGGUUACCAUCGGUCUAGUCCUUCCACUCUCAAUGGUCUACGUCGUCCAAAGUCGUUUUUCAAAGCGCCAUAGACUUACAACACCGUCAACUACAUGUACAGACCUCUAAAGGCCGUUAUAUGGCCUUUUGACGCCUUAAAAAAGGUCUUACACGUAAAUCAAGUGGUUCCACGUGCCUGUGCAGGUUACCAGCGGUCUAUUCCGUCCACUCUCAAUGGUCUACGUCGUUCAAAGUCGUUUUUCAUCGAGCCAUGGCCUUACAACACUAUCAACUACGUGUACAGAUCUCUAAAUGCUGUUAUAUGGACUUUUCACGUCCAAUAAAAGCCUUAUACGUUAAACACGUGGUUGCAUGAGUUCGCACAGACAACCAUCGGUCUAUUCCUUCUACACUCAAUAGACUACGACGUCCCAAGUCCUUUGUCAUUGCGCUAUAGCCUUACAAAACCGUCAACUGCGUGCACAGCCCUCUAAAGUCUGUUAUAUGGCCUUUUGAUGCCUAGUAAUAGUCUUGCAUGUGAAUGACAUAGUUCCACGUGCCCGCGCACGUUACGAUGGGUCUAGUCCUUCCACCGUCAAUGGACUACGACGUUCCAAGUCGUUUUCUAUCGAGCAAUGCCCUUACAACACCGUCAACUACGUGUACAGGCCUCCUCAGGCUGUUAUAUGGCCUUUUGACGCCUAAAAAAGGUCUUACACGUAAAUCAAGUAGUUCCACGUGCCUGUGCAGGUUACCAGCGGUCUAUUCCGUCCACUCUCAAUGGUCUACGUCGUCCAAAGUCGUUUUUCAAUGCGCCAUGGCCUUACAACACCAUCAACUACGUGUACAGAUCUCUAAAUGCUGUUAUAUGGACUUUUCCCGCCCAAUAAAGGCCUUAUACGUUAAACACGUGGUUGCCUGAGUUCGCACAGACAACCAUCGGUAUAUUCCUUCUACACUCAAUAGACUACGACGACCCAAGUCCUUUGUCAUUGCGCUAUAGCCUUACAAAACCGUCAACUGCGUGCACAGGCUUCUAAAAGCUGUUAUAUGGCCUUUGAUGCCUAGUGAAAGUCUUUCAUGUGAAUCACAUAGUUCCACGUGCCCGCGCACGUUACGAUUGGUCUAGUCCUUCCACUCUCAAUGUACUACGACGUCCAAAUUCGUUUUCCAACGAUCCAUGACUUUAGAACACUAUCAACUACGUUUACAGACCUCUAAAUGCUGCUUUAUGGCCUUUUGCCGCUCAAUAAGGUCCUUGCACGUAAAACUCGUGCUUCCAUGGGUUAGCGCAGGUUACCAUCGGUCUAUUCCUCCCACACUCAAUGGACUAGGACGUCCCAAGUCCUUUUUCAUUGCGCUAUAGCCUUACAAAACCGUUAACUGCGUGCACACGCCUCUAAAGGCUGUUAUAUGGCCUUUUGAUGCCUAAUAAAGGUCUUACAUGUGAAUCACAUAGUUCCACGUGCCCGCGCACGUUGAACAAUGGGUCUAGUCCUUCCACCCUCAAUGGGCUACGAUGUCCCAAGUCGUUUUCCAUCGCGCCAUGCCCUUACAACACAAUCAACUACGUGUACAGAGCUCUAAAUGCUGUUAUUUGGUCUUUUCCCGCCCAAUAGAGGCCUUAAACGUUAAACACGUGGUUGCAUGAGUUCGCACAGACAAGCAUCGGUUUAUUCCUUCUACACUCAAUAAACUACGACGUCCAAAGUCGUUUUCCAUCGAGUCAUGGCCUUACAACAUCAUCAACUACGUGUACAGAUCUCUAAAUGCUGUUAUAUGGACUUUUCCCGCACAAUAAAGGCCUUAUACGUUAAACACGUGGUUGCCUGAGUUCGCACAGACAACCAUCGGUCUAUUCCUUCUACACUCAAUAGACUACAACGUCCCAAGUCCUUUGUCAUUGCGCAAUAGCCUUACAAAACCGUCAACUGCGUGCACAGGCUUCUAAAGGCUGUUAUAUGGCCUUUGAUGCCUAGUGAAAGUCUUUCAUGUGAAUCACAUAGUUCCAUGUGCCCGCGCACGUUACGAUUGGUCUAGUCCUUCCACUCUCAAUGUACUACGACGUCCCAAUUCGUUUUCCAACGAUCCAUGAGUUUAGAACACUGUCAACUACGUUUACAGACCUCUAAAUGCUGCUUUAUGGCCUAUUGCCGAUCAAUAAAGUCCUUACACGUAAAAUACGUGCUUCCAUGAGUUAGCGCAGGUUACCAUCGGUCUAUUUCUCCCACACUCAAAGAACUAGAACGUCUCAAGUCCUUUUUCAUUGCGCUAUAGCCUUACAAAACCGUUAACUGCGUGCACAUGCCUCUAAAGGCUGUUAUAUGGCCUUUUGACGCCUAAAAAAGGUCUUACACGUAAAUCAAGUGGUUCCACGUGCCUGCGCAGGUUACCACCGGUCGAUUCCGUCCACUCUCAAUGGUCUACGUCGUCCCAAGUCAUUUUCCAUCGAGCCAUGCCCUUACAACACCGUCAACUACGUGUUCAGGCCUCUAAAGGCCCUUAUAUGGCUUUUUGACGACUAAAAAAGGUCUUACACGUAUAACAAGUGGUUCCACGUGCCUGCGCAGGUUACCACCGGUCUAUUCCGUCCACUCUUAAUGGCCUACGUCGUUCAAAGUCGUUUUUCAUCGAGCCAUGGCCUUACAACACUAUCAACUACGUGUACAGAUCUCUAAAUGCUGUUAUAUGGACUUUUCACGUCCAAUAAAAGCCUUAUACGUUAAACACGUGGUUGCAUGAGUUCGCACAGACAACCAUCGGUCUAUUCCUUCUACACUCAAUAGACUACGACGUCCCAAGUCCUUUGUCAUUGCGCUAUAGCCUUACAAAACCGUCAACUGCGUGCACAGCCCUCUAAAGUCUGUUAUAUGGCCUUUUGAUGCCUAGUAAUAGUCUUACACGUAAAUCAAGUGGUUCCACGUGCCUGUGCAGGUUACCAGCGGUCUAUUCCGUCCACUCUCAAUGGUCUACGUCGUCCAAAGUCGUUUUUCAAUGCGCCAUGGCAUUACAACACCAUCAACUACGUGUACAGAUCUCUAAAUGCUGUUAUAUGGACUUUUCCCGCCCAAUAAAGGCCUUAUACGUUAAACACGUGGUUGCCUGAGUUCGCACAGACAACCAUCGGUCUAUUCCUUCUACACUCAAUAGACUACGACGACCCAAGUCCUUUGUCAUUGCGCUAUAGCCUUACAAAACCGUCAACUGCGUGCACAGGCUUCUAAAAGCUGUUAUAUGGCCUUUGAUGCCUAGUGAAAGUCUUUCAUGUGAAUCACAUAGUUCCACGUGCCCGCGCACGUUACGAUUGGUCUAGUCCUUCCACUCUCAAUGUACUACGACGUCCAAAUUCGUUUUCCAACGAUCCAUGACUUUAGAACACUAUCAACUACGUUUACAGACCUCUAAAUGCUGCUUUAUGGCCUUUUGCCGCUCAAUAAAGUCCUUGCACGUAAAACUCGUGCUUCCAUGGGUUAGCGCAGGUUACCAUCGGUCUAUUCCUCCCACACUCAAUGGACUAGGACGUCCCAAGUCCUUUUUCAUUGCGCUAUAGCCUUACAAAACCGUUAACUGCGUGCACACGCCUCUAAAGGCUGUUAUAUGGCCUUUUGAUGCCUAAUAAAGGUCUUACAUGUGAAUCACAUAGUUCCACGUGCCCGCGCACGUUGAACAAUGGGUCUAGUCCUUCCACCCUCAAUGGGCUACGAUGUCCCAAGUCGUUUUCCAUCGCGCCAUGCCCUUACAACACAAUCAACUACGUGUACAGAGCUCUAAAUGCUGUUAUUUGGUCUUUUCCCGCCCAAUAGAGGCCUUAAACGUUAAACACGUGGUUGCAUGAGUUCGCACAGACAAGCAUCGGUUUAUUCCUUCUACACUCAAUAAACUACGACGUCCAAAGUCGUUUUCCAUCGAGUCAUGGCCUUACAACAUCAUCAACUACGUGUACAGAUCUCUAAAUGCUGUUAUAUGGACUUUUCCCGCACAAUAAAGGCCUUAUACGUUAAACACGUGGUUGCCUGAGUUCGCACAGACAACCAUCGGUCUAUUCCUUCUACACUCAAUAGACUACAACGUCCCAAGUCCUUUGUCAUUGCGCAAUAGCCUUACAAAACCGUCAACUGCGUGCACAGGCUUCUAAAGGCUGUUAUAUGGCCUUUGAUGCCUAGUGAAAGUCUUUCAUGUGAAUCACAUAGUUCCAUGUGCCCGCGCACGUUACGAUUGGUCUAGUCCUUCCACUCUCAAUGUACUACGACGUCCCAAUUCGUUUUCCAACGAUCCAUGAGUUUAGAACACUGUCAACUACGUUUACAGACCUCUAAAUGCUGCUUUAUGGCCUAUUGCCGAUCAAUAAAGUCCUUACACGUAAAAUACGUGCUUCCAUGAGUUAGCGCAGGUUACCAUCGGUCUAUUUCUCCCACACUCAAAGAACUAGAACGUCUCAAGUCCUUUUUCAUUGCGCUAUAGCCUUACAAAACCGUUAACUGCGUGCACAUGCCUCUAAAGGCUGUUAUAUGGCCUUUUGACGCCUAAAAAAGGUCUUACACGUAAAUCAAGUGGUUCCACGUGCCUGCGCAGGUUACCACCGGUCGAUUCCGUCCACUCUCAAUGGUCUACGUCGUCCCAAGUCAUUUUCCAUCGAGCCAUGCCCUUACAACACCGUCAACUACGUGUUCAGGCCUCUAAAGGCCCUUAUAUGGCUUUUUGACGACUAAAAAAGGUCUUACACGUAUAACAAGUGGUUCCACGUGCCUGCGCAGGUUACCACCGGUCUAUUCCGUCCACUCUUAAUGGCCUACGUCGUUCAAAGUCGUUUUUCAUCGAGCCAUGGCCUUACAACACUAUCAACUACGUGUACAGAUCUCUAAAUGCUGUUAUAUGGACUUUUCACGUCCAAUAAAAGCCUUAUACGUUAAACACGUGGUUGCAUGAGUUCGCACAGACAACCAUCGGUCUAUUCCUUCUACACUCAAUAGACUACGACGUCCCAAGUCCUUUGUCAUUGCGCUAUAGCCUUACAAAACCGUCAACUGCGUGCACAGCCCUCUAAAGUCUGUUAUAUGGCCUUUUGAUGCCUAGUAAUAGUCUUACACGUAAAUCAAGUGGUUCCACGUGCCUGUGCAGGUUACCAGCGGUCUAUUCCGUCCACUCUCAAUGGUCUACGUCGUCCAAAGUCGUUUUUCAAUGCGCCAUGGCCUUACAACACCAUCAACUACGUGUACAGAUCUCUAAAUGCUGUUAUAUGGACUUUUCACGUCCAAUAAAAGCCUUAUACGUUAAACACGUGG